rnacentral:tmRNA from 1 species
GGGGACGUUACGGAUUCGACAGGGAUGGUUCAAGCUCUAGUCGCGCGUCGGAGGUCUCGGCUCCGUCAUCAACGGAAGUUAUAUAAUAACUGGCAAACAACAAAAUUUAGCUUUCGCAGCGUAAGCUCGUAAGCGCUCCGCCUCUGCAUCGCCCAUGUGCAGUCCGUGGGGCCCAACUUUAGUGGGAUACGACCUGCUGGUACCACCUGAGUCAGCGGUAAGAGAUUUCCAGGUUAGUGCACAGGACGCCUGUUUGUCGGCAUAAUGCUGCAUGAAUCGCAAGUAGACAAACUACACGCGUAGAAGCUGGCGUAUUGGAGUUUCUGGACGCGGGUUCGACUCCCGCCGUCUCCAUAA